GUGGGGAAUCUUGCGCAAUGGGCGAAAGCCUGACGCAGCCAUGUCGCGUGAAUGAUGAAGGUCUUAGGAUUGUAAAAUUCUUUCACCGGGGACGAUAAUGACGGUACCCGGAGAAGAAGCUCCGGCUAACUUCGUGCCAGCAGCCGCGGUAAUACGAAGGGGGCUAGCGUUGCUCGGAAUUACUGGGCGUAAAGGGCGCGUAGGCGGACAGCUUAGUCAGAGGUGAAAGCCCAGGGCUCAACCUUGGAAUUGCCUUUGAUACUGGCUGUCUUGAGUUUGGGAGAGGUGAGUGGAACUCCGAGUGUAGAGGUGAAAUUCGUAGAUAUUCGGAAGAACACCAGUGGCGAAGGCGACUCACUGGCCCAAUACUGACGCUGAGGCGCGAAAGCGUGGGGAGCAAACAGGAUUAGAUACCCUAGUAGUCC
rnacentral:rRNA from 1 species